rnacentral:rRNA from 1 species
CAGACUGCAGGCUGCAACUCGCCUGCACGAAGUCGGAAUUGCUAGUAAUCGCGGAUCAGAAUGCCGCGGUGAAUACGUUCCCGGGCCUUGUACACACCGCCCGUCACACCAUGGGAGUCGGUAACACCCGAAGUCGGUGGUCUAACCGCAAGGAGGACGCCGCCGAAGGUGGGAUUGAUGACUGGGGUGAAGUCGUAACAAGGUACC